rnacentral:misc_RNA from 1 species
GAUGAAGAACGUAUCGAAAUGCGAUAAGUAAUGUGAAUUGCAGAAUUCAGUGAAUCAUCGAAUCUUUGAACGCACAUUGCGCCCAUUAGUAUUCUAGUGGGCAUGCCUGUUCGAGCGUCAUUUCAACCCUUAAGCCUAGCUUAGUAUUGGGAAUCGACUUUACUGUCGUUCCUCAAAUUCAACGGCGGAUUUAUAGCAAUCUCUGAACGUAGUAAUUUUUUUUCUCGUUUUUGAAAUACUAUAAACCUCAGCCGCUAAACCCCCAAUUUCUUAUGGUUGACCUCGGAUCAGGUAGGAAUACCCGCUGAACUUAAGCAUAUCAAUAAGCGGAGGA